GGACAUUGCUAAGAUUCUCCCUCCCUAUCCUUCCUCCCCCAGCCAACCAACAGUGGCUGCCAAGGGAGCGAUGCUUAAAGAUGGAUGCAACGUGACCACGCUCUUGUUAUCAGCUGCACUAGCUGAAUGCCCCUUGUUUGUAGGAAUAAGCUGAUGAUGGCAAAAUCACGUCAAAUUUGGGUGAGGGGGCCUAUAUUGGUUGGAGAGCUGGGCUCCCUGUCUGCUGUGGUGGGAGCAGACCAUGGGCUCAUUCUGCUGCAUCACUGUCCUCUUAGUUCCAGCUGCGAGGGAAGACUGGCCACUGUUUCUCCCUCUCUAUGUUCAGCUCUGGAAAGGCAUUUGAAGAACACCUAGUAAAACAAUCCUUCCAUUACAGUUUUCUGCAGGAGCUUCCUACUGGAUGAAGCCAGAGGCGAGGACUCUCCCUGUUGUGGUUCAGAAGGCCAGCUGCUUGGGGCACAGAGCUGGAUGGAGAAGGUGGAAAAGUGCGUCAGAGGAGGAACAGACUCGUGUUCAAUUUCUCAGUUAUAUUUACACACUAGUCAUGGGGCAAAUCAGGGCAAUAUCCAUGAAAUGUCUGAACACAUGCCCUUGUCUAAAUUCCUGUCCUGCAACAUUGCCUGCUAAACAUCCUCUCUAA